UACAGAGGAUGCAAGCGUUAUCCGGAAUGAUUGGGCGUAAAGCGUCUGUAGGUGGCUUUUUAAGUCCGCCGUCAAAUCCCAGGGCUCAACUCUGGACAGGCGGUGGAAACUACCAAGCUUGAGUACGGUAGGGGGCAGGAGGGAAUUUCCGGUGGGAGCGGUGAAAUGCGUAGAGAUCGGAAAGAACACCAACGGCGAAAGCACUCUGCUGGGCCGACACUGACACUGGAGAGACGAAAGCUAGGGGAGCGAAGUGG
rnacentral:rRNA from 1 species